AUGCCAGAUGCCUGGGACACCUGCCAAGGAGAGGGGCUAACAGGGUAUGGAAUCAGCCCAGGAGAGGAUUCUGUGUUGCAGUCAACAAAGAUGAAAGUAGUUGGAGGCUUGAUUUCUACCCACAGGUGCCCAUUGGCCACCCUCAUUGCCCGGGAGCUGCUCUGCACUCAGAGCCUCUCUGGUCUCUACAGGGGCCUGGGUGCCACUCUCCUCAGGGACAUUCCCUUCUCCAUCAUCUACUUCCCUUUGUUUGCAAACCUGAACCAACUCGGGGUCAGCGAGCUCACCGGCAAGGCUUCCUUCACACACUCCUUCAUGGCAGGCUGUGCAGCAGGCUCUGUGGCAGCGGUGGCUGUCACCCCUCUGGAUGUUCUGAAGACUCGAAUCCAGACCCUCAAGAGAGGCCUGGGUGAGGACACCUACAGUGGAGUCAUUGACUGUGCCUGGAAGCUCUGGACACAGGAGGGAGCAGCAGCCUUCAUGAAGGGAGCAGGCUGCCGUGUGCUGGUCAUAGCUCCCCUCUUUGGGAUCGCCCAGGGCAUCUACUUCAUUGGCAUCGGAGAGCACAUCUUAAAGUGCUUUGAGUAAUCUAGUGUGUCACUUCUUGCUGUCACCUCUGGCCCUAGGGAACUGGGUGGCAGUACUGGAAGAUGCCCACCCUGACACAUGUGGUCUCUAACUUGUAGUGCUACCUCAGAAGAAAUGACCCAUUUUACUAAGCAAG